UAAGAAUGAUGAGCUUUCACUGGUCCGUGUUUCAGAUAAGCAGUGGUGACUGUGAAGUUCUGAGUAG
rnacentral:snoRNA from 1 species